GCACGUGUAUGAAAGUGUACUGGUAUAUAAUGCGAACGACCGAAUAUUCACAAAGGACUUCGAACUACAGAGGAGCCCUGCGAGACAACUGGCGUGUCGGCUUUUCGAAAGUUUUGUCAAGGAAAAAAACAUGCAGCUGAAAGUUAUCCUCGUCGGCUUAGCCAUUUUUGGUCUGAUUGUGGCAGAGAGCGGUGCCAUGCCCGCCAGCAGCAGUGCCAGUGAGGCCGAAGCCAGGACUGAACCACAAUCUGCAGAGCGCGCAGAGCAAAGCAGUGCUGAGGAGGCACGCAUCAGCGAGGCGUGUCUGAAAUCACUGUGUGGGUAACAACCUGACGCAAUGAAACUAUAUGUUCCAAGGAAAAUAUCUCGCAUAGGACCAAUAAAUUUUUUAGAAGAAUUUGAA